GGAAUAUUGCACAAUGGGCGCAAGCCUGAUGCAGCCAUGCCGCGUGUAUGAAGAAGGCCUUCGGGUUGUAAAGUACUUUCAGCGGGGAGGAAGGCGAUAAGGUUAAUAACCUUGUCGAUUGACGUUACCCGCAGAAGAAGCACCGGCUAACUCCGUGCCAGCAGCCGCGGUAAUACGGAGGGUGCAAGCGUUAAUCGGAAUUACUGGGCGUAAAGCGCACGCAGGCGGUCUGUCAAGUCGGAUGUGAAAUCCCCGGGCUCAACCUGGGAACUGCAUUCGAAACUGGCAGGCUAGAGUCUUGUAGAGGGGGGUAGAAUUCCAGGUGUAGCGGUGAAAUGCGUAGAGAUCUGGAGGAAUACCGGUGGCGAAGGCGGCCCCCUGGACAAAGACUGACGCUCAGGUGCGAAAGCGUGGGGAGCAAACAGGA
rnacentral:misc_RNA from 1 species